AAAUUGAAGAGUUUGAUCAUGGCUCAGAUUGAACGCUGGCGGCAGGCCUAACACAUGCAAGUCGAACGGUAACAGGAAGCAGCUUGCUGCUUCGCUGACGAGUGGCGGACGGGUGAGUAAUGUCUGGGAAACUGCCUGAUGGAGGGGGAUAACUACUGGAAACGGUAGCUAAUACCGCAUAACGUCGCAAGACCAAAGAGGGGGACCUUCGGGCCUCUUGCCAUCGGAUGUGCCCAGAUGGGAUUAGCUUGUUGGUGGGGUAAC
rnacentral:rRNA from 1 species